rnacentral:rRNA from 1 species
CGGUUGAUCCUGCCGGACCUGACUGCUAUCGGAUUGAUACUAAGCCAUGCGAGUCAUUGUAGCAAUACAAGGCAGACGGCUCAGUAACGCGUAGUCAAUCUACCCUAUGGACGGGAAUAACCUCGGGAAACUGAGAAUAAUGCCCGAUAGAACAUUAUGCCUGGAAUGGUUUAUGUUUCAAAUGAUUUAUCGCCAUAGGAUGGGACUGCGGCCUAUCAGUUUGUUGGUGAGGUAAUGGCCCACCAAGACUAUUACAGGUACGGGCUCUGAGAGGAGUAGCCCGGAGAUGGGUACUGAGACACGGACCCAGGCCCCAUGGGGCGCAGCAGGCGAGAAAACUUUGCAAUGUGCGAAAGCACGACAAGGUUAAUCCGAGUGGUUUCUGCUAAAGAAACCUUUUGUCAGUCCUAGAAACACUGAUGAAUAAGGGGUGGGCAAGUUCUGGUGUCAGCCGCCGCGGUAAAACCAGCACCUCAAGUGGUCAGGAUGAUUAUUGGGCCUAAAGCAUCCGUAGCUCGUUUUGUAAGUUUUCGGUUAAAUCCAUGCGCUUAACGUAUGGGCUGCCGGGAAUACUGCAUAACUAGGAAGUGGGAGAGGUAGACGGUACUCGGUAGGAAGGGGUAAAAUCCUUUGAUCUAUUGAUGACCACCUGUGGCGAAGGCGGUCUACCAGAACACGUUCGACGGUGAGGGAUGAAAGCUGGGGGAGCAAACCGGAUUAGAUACCCGGGUAGUCCCAGCUGUAAACUAUGCAAACUCAGUGAUGCAUUGGCUUGUGGCCAAUGCAGUGCUGCAGGGAAGCCGUUAAGUUUGCCGCCUGGGAAGUACGUACGCAAGUAUGAAACUUAAAGGAAUUGGCGGGGGAGCACCACAAGGGGUGAAGCCUGCGG